ACAUGCACGUCGAACGGAAUGCUUUCGGGCAUUUAGUGGCGGACGGGUGAGUAACGCGUGAGAAUCUGCCCUUUGGAUGGGGACAACGACUGGAAACGGUCGCUAAUACCCGAUGAGCCGCGAGGUUAAAGAUUUAUCGCCAAAGGAUGAGCUCGCGUCGGAUUAGCUAGUUGGUAGUGUAAUGGACUACCAAGGCGACGAUCCGUAGCUGGUCUGAGAGGAUGACCAGCCACACUGGGACUGAGACACGGCCCAGACUCCUACGGGAGGCAGCAGUGGGGAAUUUUCCGCAAUGGGCGCAAGCCUGACGGAGCAAGACCGCGUGGGGGAGGAAGGUCUGUGGAUUGUAAACCCCUUUUGACUGGGAAGAACACAAUGGCGGUACCAGUCGAAUCAGCCUCGGCUAACUCCGUGCCAGCAGCCGCGGUAAUACGGAGGAGGCAAGCGUUAUCAGGAUUUAUUGGGCGUAAAGCGUCCGCAGGUGGUUAUACAAGUCUGCUGUCAAAGCGCGAAGCUUAACUUCGUAAAGGCAGUGGAAACUGUAUGACUUGAGUGUGAUAGGGGCAGAGGGAAUUCCUAGUGUAGCGGUGAAAUGCGUAGAGAUUAGGAAGAACACCGGUGGCGAAG
rnacentral:rRNA from 1 species